UUGUAUCUAUCUGGUUCAUGUUUUCUUUUCUGGGAAAUUAAACAUUGUUAGUACUUUUAUAUGUAUUAUAUAAUACUUUUGUUAUGCAUUUAUAAGCAAAAAAAGAAAAUGUGGUCUUAUAUUCCCAUUUUUAUGCAAUGGGGCAUAUUAUCUACAUUGUAAUUUAGUGUGUUGUUGUUGUUGUUGUUGUUGUUUUAAUUUACCACAGAGAGUUUCUGAGUGCUCCAUUACAGCUCUGGUUCCUGUAUAUAAAUGUACUUUAGUUUAACCAGUCCUGCACUCAUGGACAUUCAGGUUGUUUCUUUUCUUCGUAAACAAGUGUGCGAUGAAAACCCCUCUACAGAUGUCAUUGCUCCCACGUAGUAGUAAUGCUAGGAUAAAUUCUGGCUUCCCGGCUAUGAAUUCAAUAGUUUGUGCCAGGGUGUGUUAGAGAAGGCUUCUCACAAAGCUUUUAUAUUUUUGAACAUCAAUUUGAGUCAAUGAAAUUGGGCAGAGAGACAUGACCAGAACAGUUUUAAAUGUUUGGGUGAGAUUCUCCGGUAGCAUUUAAAACUGCAUCACGGUGUACAGACCUGAUGGUUUUUACCACUGCCUGGGGCAGAGCAGCGUUUGUGUUCUAGGCGUGAUGUCUUGGUUUCCACGGCUGGACACCUGGGGGCUGACGCUGAGAAGUGGGCUUCCUCCUCUCGUGAAACUCCAGUCCUCAGGCCUCGCAGAAAGCCUGCAGGAAAAAAGGGGCUGGUGUGUGGACAGCCUGGGCUCCGCUGAAGCAGUCCCUUCCCCCACCCCACCCCUGUCUCUCUGGGUAGCUGGGGUUGGCACCCCGACCCUUAACUGCAUCUGAAGUUGAACCAGCCCCCAGGCAAAGCACAAAUGGAAAAGCCACUAGGGGCCAGGACACUUGUGAGACUGAACCGCAGUCACUCUUGGGCAGUGGACGUUUUCCAGAGUGUGCCUUAGCAAAAAGGACUCAAGCUCAUUCUGGAGUGAUCUUAGUAACGUUCUUAAUACAGUUUGGGGCCCUAGACAAUUAUCUAAAUGUUGAAAGAAUAUACAUGCCCUGACAUAUUUAACAGUUUCAAAAUAUGGGAAUGGGACUUUUAUGAGCACAAAUGCCAUUUGGUUACCCAGAGCUAGAGCAACGACAAUAGAAUAAAGGAAGUGCUCAGGUGCCAGUCUCCCUUGAGGACCUAAGCCGCCUGAGUCCCUGGCAACAAGCUAGGGGGACAGCAUACAUUGUCGCGCUGGUAUGUCCAAAAAAAUCAGCUGCUCUCCGGAAUUUGAAGCCACCGUGGUGUAAGAAAAGCCUUUAACAACAUUUAUUGAAUUACAAUCAGUGAAAAAUCAUAAUGGAUUGGAUAGCCUAAUAAGGAGUCUGCAGACCCAGCUCAACUUUUAAACACUUAAAAAAGAUAUUGGCAGAUUCAUAACAUGAUGUAAAUAUGUGAUUUUAAAAUAUACUUUCUAUCCACUGAGAAACCAGGAAUUGAGCCAGACACUAUUACUAGCAAUACUUUCAGUGGAGUUGUAAGUUAAAUUUUUUUAAAAUCUUGAUAAUACAGUGAAAAAAUAUUAGUUCACUAAAGAGCCAAAUGUAAAUACUUAACUAUGGCCUGACUUUGAUGUAAGACAUAGUUUGUCUUAAAACUAUGAAUGUGGUGCUAUAAAGACAGUACCUGUAUUCUGAAUCUGAGUGCAAAAAACAAUGGUUAAUAUGUUAACUUACAUUUCAUUCAAUGUAUUAUAUGUAUUUAAUAAAUAACUUAUUAGGCCUUACUGCUGAAUCUUAAAAUUCAUCUGAACGACUUUGUAGAUAAGAAUAUUACAGAAUGUUUUCUCCCAAAACGUUAAUAUGAAAGACUUACUGCUCAGAGUUUGUAAAUAAUUAUAACCUAACAGUUUUAAAACUGCGAUAUUGUGUUAAAUUAUAAAAUUGAUUAGCAUGUAAAUUCUAGAAAGAAAAUCAAACAUUGUUAAGGGUUCAAGAAAUGAACUCAAAGCAAUGUAUCAAUAAACGAAUGAAUAUUUCAAUAAGUAUUGGUAGGAUAUAUAGUAGUGGUCAUCAAUCAGAAGAAUGAACUUUGCAUAUAUUGCAGUAAAUUCUAGAUGGUCAAACAUUUAAAAAUGUUUAUUGCUCUUCUGUUUGUACAAAAUAUAUAAAACAUAGACGUUUAUAUGUAGGUUUAUUGAAGACUUCUCAGUUAAUGGGCUUGAAUGUAUUGAGGUAGCAUUAUGUCAAGAUUAUUGCAUACUUCCCUAGUUUUAGUUACAAAAUAUGUGACCUUUUCACCCUAUCUCCACUUUCCAAAAUGCAUGGGAACAGUGGAGACCCGGCCUCAGAGGCCUAGAUUCUAACUUGGAAUCUGUCCCGUAGAUGCUGUCCGCACCUGGGCGAGGAGGCCCUCCACAUCCCUGCCUGUCCCCUUCCCUGUCAAAAGUGACAGGGAGGAUCAGAAAAGAGGACAGUGAGACACUCUGUGAACAGCAAAACACUGUGUAUUAUUGUUGUAUGUAGAGGAAAAAAAUGAUUUCUAAGAACAUUUUAGGAAAUGAGAAAGUAGAGGAAUAUGAAGCUCAGAUAUGUUGACAUAUUGUAAAAUAUUUAGAUUCUUUUUCAUUAACACAGUGACUCGAUCAAGUUGUUCCUCCUUCAGGACUUUAGUGUUAUGACCGUUAGUUCCUUUCUCCAUCUGCUGGGGAAUGGGCAAUUAUUGACAGACAGCUAUUAAUGACUGCUAAUAAAGAACAAUAGAUAAACACCUUUCCCCCUCUUUUGGAGUAAUUUUAAAACACAGUAGAUAUUUUAAUCUUUUUAGAACGGAGGAUUAUCAAGCAUUAAUACCAAUGUGAGUUAACCAUGGAAAGCCACCAUAGAAAAUGAAAGCCCUUUUUUCUGUUUUCAACUUAAAAAGUAUAUUGAGCACAUUUUGCCAUUGGAUCUUAGAACAUGAAAACUGAGGUUUCUUUGUUUAUUUUCUUUCGAGAAAUCACUGUGGUUUUCCUUCCCCUCAAAAACUGGAGAAAGCAAGUACUGUCGCUAAGACUGUCUUAGGUCUGUCUGUUACCACAGACUGCUCCACCAUAGGGAAUGCCCACGAGGAAGGGUGGGGUUCGCUUUUCGUUUCUGCUAGCUUUUUAUUUUUCGGAUGGAGAUUUGUUUUGAUUAUUUGGCCUGCUUAUUUCAAGAAGCUAAGCAGCUUGCUUCCUGUUUUCCCCGAUUCUGUUUGGUACUUAAAGGGACUGAGACACUCGGAAUGGCUCCGAAACGGAACAGUUGCUCAUUGUAAACAGAGCAAUUCAAGUGACUAAUUAACUUGGCACGGCGCCUCAGAUGGCUGUGAGCAUUAGCAUGGGCUUUUAAAAAAUGUUUAAGUCAUUAUUACCCCUUGCAAGG